GACGAACGCUGGCGGCGUGCCUAAUACAUGCAAGUAGAACGCACAGUUUAUACCGUAGCUUGCUACACCAUAGACUGUGAGUUGCGAACGGGUGAGUAACGCGUAGGUAACCUGCCUGGUAGCGGGGGAUAACUAUUGGAAACGAUAGCUAAUACCGCAUAAUAUUAAUUAUUGCAUGAUAAUUAAUUGAAAGGUGCAAUUGCACCACUACCAGAUGGACCUGCGUUGUAUUAGCUAGUAGGUGAGGUAACGGCUCACCUAGGCGACGAUACAUAGCCGACCUGAGAGGGUGAUCGGCCACACUGGGACUGAGACACGGCCCAGACUCCUACGGGAGGCAGCAGUAGGGAAUCUUCGGCAAUGGACGAAAGUCUGACCGAGCAACGCCGCGUGAGUGAAGAAGGUUUUCGGAUCGUAAAGCUCUGUUGUUAGAGAAGAACGGGUGUGAGAGUGGAAAGUUCACACUGUGACGGUAUCUUACCAGAAAGGGACGGCUAACUACGUG
rnacentral:rRNA from 1 species